rnacentral:rRNA from 1 species
GUGGGGUAAAGGCCUACCAAGGCGACGAUCUGUAGCGGGUCUGAGAGGAUGAUCCGCCACACUGGAACUGAGACACGGUCCAGACUCCUACGGGAGGCAGCAGUGGGGAAUUUUGGACAAUGGGCGCAAGCCUGAUCCAGCCAUGCCGCGUGAGUGAAGAAGGCCUUCGGGUUGUAAAGCUCUUUCGGCCGGGAAGAAAUCGCACAGGCUAAUACCUUGUGUGGAUGACGGUACCGGAAUAAGAAGCACCGGCUAACUACGUGCCAGCAGCCGCGGUAAUACGUAGGGUGCGAGCGUUAAUCGGAAUUACUGGGCGUAAAGCGUGCGCAGGCGGUUGUGUAAGACAGGCGUGAAAUCCCCGGGCUCAACCUGGGAACUGCGCUUGUGACUGCACGGCUAGAGUACGGCAGAGGGGGGUGGAAUUCCACGUGUA